rnacentral:rRNA from 1 species
GACGAACGCUGGCGGCGUGCUUAACACAUGCAAGUCGAACGGAAAGGCCCUGCUUUUGUGGGGUGCUCGAGUGGCGAACGGGUGAGUAACGCGUGAGUAACCUGCCCUUGACUUUGGGAUAACUUCAGGAAACUGGGGCUAAUACCGGAUAGGAGCUCCUGCUGCAUGGUGGGGGUUGGAAAGUUUCGGCGGUUGGGGAUGGACUCGCGGCUUAUCAGCUUGUUGGUGGGGUAGUGGCUUACCAAGGCUUUGACGGGUAGCCGGCCUGAGAGGGUGACCGGCCACAUUGGGACUGAGAUACGGCCCAGACUCCUACGGGAGGCAGCAGUGGGGAAUAUUGCACAAUGGGCGGAAGCCUGAUGCAGCGACGCCGCGUGCGGGAUGACGGCCUUCGGGUUGUAAACCGCUUUCGCCUGUGACGAAGCGUGAGUGACGGUAAUGGGUAAAGAAGCACCGGCUAACUACGUG